AUUGCUGGUGGUUGUGCCCAAGCAGCGGGAAGCAUGUGCCGGUUGUGCGUGCCAUCGCUCCUUGCCCCCUAGGCAUGCGGGUGCUGCUACACGAACUGCUGUGCACACAGCGUGAUUGAUUUGGUCCUCAGCAUGGCUAUGGUGCCGGCAAGCAAGAGUUGGCACACUUCGUGGGCCCAGACUACUCCUCCGUGGCCUCAUUCCCCUCACCACUUCACCCGAUCAGUGGCCUUCUGCUGGCAAUCCCGGCCCGCUCCUGUCCCACUUGCAUGGCAUACAGACUGUCAAGUGGGCCCCGCCAGGGCAUCUAUGACCCCACCCUCUGCACCCAGAUGAGCUGGGGUUCUUGUAGGAGCUGCCGGGCAGCUCCGCUUUGGGUAACUACAUUCUUUGCACCGGAUACUGCCUGGGC
rnacentral:lncRNA from 1 species